UCAUUGGCUGAGUACAUUUUGUGGUGGAAACUCUUGCAAGAGGUCUGUUUUCUCAAGUCGUCUUCCAGGACGAAACGCGUUAACACCACCACUUAAAAGGCGGUCCUCUAGGCAUUUUAAAAUAAAAAUGGAGUCAUUCCCUCUCA